AUGGGAAACCCUGUUGAUGCACCUAAAGCCUAUCAAUGGAUAUGGAAAUCAUGCUCUUUACCAAAGCAGAAAUUCUUCUUCUGGCUCUUGUUACAAGACAGAUUAAACACUAGAGAUCUACUAAAAAGGAAGAAUUUCUACAUUGAGACUAGUAAGUGUGAAUUAUGUGAUGAUGAACCUAAUGAACAUUUAAUGCAUCUGUUUUUUAGCUGUGAUUUCAGUCAAAACUUCUGGAUGAACAUUGGCUACCAAUGGAACACUGAUCAUAACCUCAUAGAAAUGCUCCUGGAGGGAAGGAAGCAAGAUACACAUGGAUGCUUUAAAGAAUGUCUGAUUGCUGGAUGCUGGAGUCUAUGGAAACACAGAAAUAGCAUAAUUUUUGACAACAAGGUCAAAAAUAUGACAUUCUGUAUUGCCACUUUCAAGGAGCACUUUUGCAUGAUUAUAAAGAAGGCAAAACCAGGAUUGAAAGAGGGCAUGCAAAGCUGGCUAGAUCAUUUGUAG
rnacentral:rRNA from 1 species